rnacentral:rRNA from 1 species
UACGGGGGGGGCAAGCGUUGUUCGGAAUUACUGGGCGUAAAGGGCUCGUAGGCGGCCAACUAAGUCCGACGUGAAAUCCCCAGGCUUAACCUGGGAACUGCGUCGGAUAUUGGAUGGCUUGAAUCCGGGAGAGGGAUGCGGAAUUCCAGGUGUAGCGGUGAAAUGCGUAGAUAUCUGGAGGAACACCGGUGGCGAAGGCGGCAUCCUGGAGCUUUGCUGACGCUGAGGCGCGAAAGCGUGGGGAGCGAUCCGG